UACGUAGGGUGCAAGCGUUAAUCGGAAUUACUGGGCGUAAAGGGCGCGUAGGCGGUUUACCCAGUCAGGCGUGAAAGGCCUGGGCUCAACCCGGGAACUGCGCUUGAUACUGGUAGACUUGAGUCCGGGAGAGGAUGGCGGAAUUCCCAGUGUAGAGGUGAAAUUCGUAGAUAUUCGCAAGAACACCAGUGGCGAAGGCGGCUCACUGGCCCGGUACUGACGCUGAGGUGCGAAAGCGUGGGGAGCAAACAGG
rnacentral:rRNA from 1 species